UAAAAUAAAAAUAUUUAUAGAAAUAUUUACAUAAAUAUAUGCAAUAAAAUAUAUUCUGAAAUUUUUUUUGGCCACAAAAAUUUUGUAACGGAAAUUCCGUUACAAAUGAUCAGUCUUUAUUUUUUUGUAUUUGUAACGGAUUUGAGUAUUUAUAACGGAAAUUUGAUGACGACCAAAGUUAACGGAAUUUCCGUUACAAAUGACAUUUUUCAUGGAAUUUCCGUUAACUUUGUUCGUCCAAACUGCCUACAUUUUUCUGUAGUGCUCUCAAAAAUUAUCAACCCCCUCUCUUGUUGGACCAGGGAAGGUAUUUAUAGAGAUCCUCCGUCGGCCCAAGCCCGUUGCUCGGGCAAAUAGGCUUGUGGUCUGUUCGGCCCGUGGACCAUUUGAAUGGACCUCAGUACCAACAGUAACCUAAGCGAAAAAUACCAUAUGAGAAACUGAAAUUGAUUUGUGUUGUGUAUUGAAUCGCACAUUAUUAUUUAUACAUAAAAAUAUUAACUAAAUCCUAACCGAUUAACUAUAUUAGUAAAACACACUUGGAUGUUACACGUGUGCAGUGGCGUAUCCAGGAUUCCACAACAGGGGGGCAAAAUUCGUCGAAGGCGAAAAAAAAAAUUUACUAAUUUAAAAACCUAUAAAAAUUUUGGCACGACCUAUUCAUAAAAUCGAUUAUGAAAACCUAUAAAAAUUCAAUACAUUCAUUUCAUAAUUAAUAUUCAAUACAUUAAUUAAUAUUCAAAUUAAAAAUAAAUACAUUCAUUCAAUUAAUAAUAAAAAUUUCAAAUACAAUUUACAUUACUUCAAUGUUCUACGACGAGGACACAUAUCAUUAAAUAUUUGUAAAAUAACUUCGUUGUCUAUAGUUUUAAAAAUAUCUUUCUCGAUAUAUGUUACUAAACAAUCAUUCAUCAAACUAACACCAAAGCGAUUUCUGAGACGAGUUUUAACGAUAUGCAUUGCUGAAAAACUACGCUCAACUGAUGCAGUUGUAACUGGUAAUAUCAACGCUAAUUUGAUCAGGAAAUAAACCAAGGGAUAACCAAUAUCCAUCUUACACUCUACCAAUUCAUGUGCUAGACCACCAAUACCGAUAGACAGAAGCAAAAUGAAGCAACUUCUCUAUAUCGAAAGCCUCAAAAGAAGAAUAUGGAUCAAGACAAUGGAUACACAGUAGUAACUCUGUGUUAGUCUCAACGGAGGGAAAACUGGAGUCUGGAGAAGAGAUUUCCACCAAGUUGUGCAGCAAGGCAGCAACAACAGACGACAGUGAAGAAUCUAAGAAGAAAGUAUUAAGAUUUAAGAAAUUCAGGUUUGGGGGAGAACGGGGGAUAAGGGGGGAGAAGAAUAAAAUAUUUUAAAAUUUAUAUAUUAGGGAUUUGUGAAAUGGGGAGAGAAAAAUAAAAUAUUGUAAAUUUUAUAUAACAACUCUUAAAAAAUAUUAAUAUAUUGUAAAAUUACAUUUAACCCUCUAUAAUUUUUUUUAUUACAUAUAGGUCCUUGACUUUUUUCCAACAUUUAGGGGGGGCACUUGCCCUCCCUUGUAUCAAGAAACAGAAUUUAUUUGCAAGACUGUAUGAUUAUACUAUGAGAUAAGGCAGUAACCAAAUCGCACAAUAACACAAUAGAAACUUAUUUAUUUAUUUACUUGGAACAGGAAUGAAAUAACAGAAAUUUGAACAUAAUAAAAUGACAAGCAUUAGUUCUAAAUCUGUUUGAAACAGAAUUUCUGUAUGGAAUUGAUUUCAAGAUGAAACUAAGAAUCAAUGGAAUUACGAAAAUGAUUUAUUAAUCUAACAGGGAAUUGAUUUUCAAAAGAAACUUUUAAAGAAACAUUGAAUUAAAGAAAUUGAAACAAAUUGUCUAAAGAAAGUUAACUAAACUAAACAAAUUGAAACGGACUUGAAUCCAAUAGAUUUGUAGAAUAGAUUUGCAUACAACGAUAGAAAACACAUUUACAGUUUACAACAGAAAUUAAAAAUGAAUUUUGAAGAGAUUACUUGAUUCUGGAAAUUAAAACAGGAAGAUGACGAAACAAAAAUUUAACACGAUCUGGAAUGAUACCUGAUAAAUGAGAACAGCAAACACAAGAAAUUACCGGAUUGAAACAGAAAAGAAAUCCAAGCACUGAGAACGAUUUGAAAAGAGCAGGAAAUUGUAAACGCACAAAUGGAAAAAUAAUUUUCCGAUGCUCUCCAAACUGCCUGUCCCGUUUCUUAUAUACCUUGUAAUCUGUUAUCUUUGUUUUAAUUUAAUUGGACCCCUUGUUUUCAGGUAUCGGAUCCGGGUCAUGCAUUCCUAAUUUCAAAUAUUCUGAAUUAGGUGGUUGGACCAUGACUGCCUGCUCCUUGAUAUUUUACACCUUGCCCCCCUGGAUACGCCCGUCCAAUAGUCUCGACAUCAAAUUUGAGUGCAUUGCAUGGGGAGCCGACGAGGCCGGAUAUCUCUUAGUGGUGAAUAAAUUUUGUCAAUUCUUACAGUAACCAACGACUACGAAUUGGGCAGCAGUCAAACAUGUAUUACGAUUCUUACAUGGUAUCCAACACUUUGGUUUGCUUUUUAGUCCCACGACAAGGUUUAAUUUAAAGGUAUAUACAUACGUUGAAUAGAAUGGUUGUACGGAUGAUCCGAAAAGCACCUGUAGCUAUGCGAUGUUCUUUGGAAACAAUCUCAUUUCAUGGUCAACAAAAACAACCCACCCACCGUUGCUAGAUCAUCGACGGAGGUGGAAUUUCGGAUUGUAGCAGAUU
rnacentral:lncRNA from 1 species